AGAUUGAACGCUGGCGGCAGGCCUAACACAUGCAAGUCGAGCGGCAGCACGGGUACUUGUACCUGGUGGCGAGCGGCGGACGGGUGAGUAAUGCCUAGGAAUCUGCCUGGUAGUGGGGGAUAACGCUCGGAAACGGACGCUAAUACCGCAUACGUCCUACGGGAGAAAGCAGGGGACCUUCGGGCCUUGCGCUAUCAGAUGAGCCUAGGUCGGAUUAGCUAGUUGGUGAGGUAAUGGCUCACCAAGGCGACGAUCCGUAACUGGUCUGAGAGGAUGAUCAGUCACACUGGAACUGAGACACGGUCCAGACUCCGUACGGGA
rnacentral:rRNA from 1 species